CGUGGUAGAGGAGCGUUCUGUACGCCGAUGAAGGCGGACCUGUGAGGGCCGCUGGAGGUAUCAGAAGUGCGAAUGCUGACAUGAGUAACGAUAAAGGCGGUGAAAAACCGCCUCGCCGAAAGCCCAAGGUUUCCUGCGCAACGUUAAUCGGCGCAGGGUUAGUCGGCCCCUAAGAUGAGGGCGAGAGCCGUAAUCGAUGGGAAACAGGUUAAUAUUCCUGUACCGCACAUGACUGCGAUGGGGGGACGGAGUAGGCUAAGUGAGCCGGGUGACGGAAGUCCCGGUUUAAGUGAGUAGGGAGUGUGUUUAGGUAAAUCCGGACGCACAAUCCUGAGACACGAUGACGAGUGCCCACGGGCGCGAAGUCACUGAUGCCAUGCUUCCUGGAAAAGCCUCUAAGCUACAGGUCAUGCGCGACCGUACCGCAAACCGACACAGGUAGGCAGGGUGAGAAUCCCAAGGCGCUUGAGAGAACUCGGGUGAAGGAACUAGGCAAAAUAGUACCGUAACUUCGGGAGAAGGUACGCCCCUGAUGGUGAAGCAACUUGCUUGCUGAGCUGUUGGGGGCCGCAGUGACCAGGGGGCUGCGACUGUUUACUAAAAACACAGCACUCUGCAAACACGUAAGUGGACGUAUAGGGUGUGACGCCUGCCCGGUGCCGGAAGGUUAAAUGAUGAGGUUAGCCCUCGGGCGAAGCUUUUGAUUGAAGCCCCGGUAAACGGCGGCCGUAACUAUAAACACCGUUGUAGUUACGUAAAAAAACUUGGCUAUAUGCUGGAAACUCCGGUGUAUCCUCCGAUACUCGCCAAUUCAUUGGCAGUGACAAUUCGUGAGGUGCGGACAAUCAGCAGGAAAGGCUCUAGCUUUGUUAGUAGAGAAUCCUCAGAGACUACACGCCAAGCCACUUAAAAAAUAAACACCUUAAGUGGAUGAUAUAGUCCGAUCUUUGUGGCGACAUAAAGAACCAGGCGGAAACGAUCUGGUCCAUUUCAAGAACAUUUUGGAAUGCGUAACAUUGCAAGAACGGUCCUAAGGUAGGAUUCGCUGCCUUAGUAAAAUCUGGCUAAUUGCUGGAAACUCCGGUGUAUCCUCCGGUACUCGCCACAUUCGGUGGCAGUGACAAUCCGUGAGGUGCGGACAAUCAGCAGGAAAGAUUAUUGAGGAAAUCGCAUGGCCUUUAUUCCCCGUAAGAUCCCCCCACACAUUGGUUAUUACCUAGCAGGUUUUGCUGAUGGAGAAGGGAGCUUCAAUGUGUCUUUUCGGAAACGAGAAGAUUACAAAAAUCCAUGGAAAGUCUCUUUGUGUUUCAAUGUGUCUCAGAAAGAUCGAGUCAUAUUGGCGCUUUACAAAAAGCACUUUCAAUGCGGCACAUUGAGAGAAAGGUCUGAUGGGGUUUGGUAUUACGAGGUCAACAAUUUCCGGUCUAUUCAAGAAAAUGUCAUCCCUUUCUUCAGAGAAUUUGGUUUUUUAUCGGCUAAGAAGAAGCGCGAUUUUGCGAAAUUUAGGCAACUGGCGCAACUGAUUGAAGAUGGAGAUCACUUGAAUGAAGAAGGUGUUCGGCAAAUAUUGAAGAUUCGAGAUCAGAUGAACGAUGGAGGCGCUGGAAGACGUAAGUAUUCCGACGACGACAUCCUCGCUUGGUUUCGUCAAUAAAAUCCUCAGAGACUACACGCCAGACACUCAUGCUUUUAGAGUGAAGAUAUAGUCCCAUCUGCAUGGCGACAUGCAGGGGUAAGGCCAACACGGCUUAUCCAGUUUGGUGUACGUGAGACCAAACUUAAGAUCAUCGAGCGAAAUUCCUUGUCGGGUAAGUUCCGACCUGCACGAAUGGCGUAACGAUGGCCACACUGUCUCCACCCGAGACUCAGUGAAAUUGAAAUUGCGGUUAAGAUGCCGUAUACCCGCGGCUAGACGGAAAGACCCCGUGAACCUUUACUACAGCUUCACAUUGAACUUCGAUUAUUCUUGUGUAGGAUAGGUGGGAGGCUUUGAUACGUAGACGCCAGUUUACGUGGAGCCAACCUUGAAAUACCACCCUGGUGUAAUUGGAGUUCUAACCCAGGACCGUGAUCCGGUUCGGGAACAAUGUGUGGUGGGUAGUUUGACUGGGGCGGUCUCCUCCCAAAGAGUAACGGAGGAGCACGAAGGUACCCUCAGCACGGUCGGACAUCGUGCAUUGAGUGCAAAGGCACAAGGGUGCUUGACUGCGAGAUCGACGGAUCGAGCAGGUACGAAAGUAGGUCUUAGUGAUCCGGUGGUUCUGUAUGGAAGGGCCAUCGCUCAACGGAUAAAAGGUACUCCGGGGAUAACAGGCUGAUACCGCCCAAGAGUUCAUAUCGACGGCGGUGUUUGGCACCUCGAUGUCGGCUCAUCACAUCCUGGGGCUGUAGCAGGUCCCAAGGGUAUGGCUGUUCGCCAUUUAAAGUGGUACGCGAGCUGGGUUUAGAACGUCGUGAGACAGUUCGGUCCCUAUCUGCCGUGGGCGUUUGAGACUUGAGGGAAGCUGCUCCUAGUACGAGAGGACCGGAGUGGACGAUCCGCUGGUGUUCCGGUUGUAUCGCCAGAUGCAUUGCCGGGUAGCUACGAUCGGAAGGGAUAACCGCUGAAAGCAUCUAAGCGGGAAGCCCCUCCCAAGAUGAGGUCUCACGGACCCUAGAGGUCCCUAAAGGGCCCUGGAAGACUACCAGGUUGAUAGGCUGGGUGUGGAAGCACAGCAAUGUGUGGAGCUAACCAGUACUAAUUGCCCGUGUGGCUUGGUCAU
rnacentral:rRNA from 1 species